AUUCUGUUUAACUGAAACAUGCUGUAUCAAGAUGAAUAUGUUAGUUUAAAUGAAGCCACUCCUCCCAGUCAUUUAAAUACUCAUAUGCCACGAGACAUAGGCCGUGGAGGUGGUGUAGCAGCUAUUUAUCAUUCCUCUCUCCUAAUCUAUCCUAAACCAAAGGCCAAUUACACUUCCUUUGAAAGCCUGGUUCUAAAUUUAUCUCAUAUCGAAUCAAAAACCUGCCAGCCAGUCUUAUUUGUGAUAAUUUACCGUCCUCCAGGCCCUUAUUCUGAAUUUCUAUCAGAAUUCUCUGAGUUUAUAUCAAACUUAGUCCUCAGUUCUGAUAAAAUACUGAUAGUAGGAGAUUUUAAUAUCCAUGUGGACAAAGAUAGUGAUAGCCUGAGCUCAGCCUUUAUGUCCCUAAUAGACUCAGUUGGCUUUUUUCAAACUAUUAAUGAAGCUACUCAUCGUUUAAAUCAUACUCUUGAUCUUGUUCUAACAUAUGGCCUUAAUAUUAAUGAACUAAAAGUCUACCCUGAAAAUCCUCUGCUAUCAGAUCACUUUUUAAUAUCUUUUAACAUUAUCCUAGAGGAUCUCGCACUGUGCAAUAAAAUAGUUACGAGUAGAAAUCUGUCCAAUAGUGCUGUGGCUAAAUUUAAAGAGGCCAUUCCUGCUGCCUUAAACUCAGUGCACCAUCCAAUAAAUAACUAUGAUAUUAAUUAUAACCCCUCUCAACUGGAUCUGCUUGUCGAUAGCUCUGCUAGUCUACUAAAAUCCACCUUGGACUCAAUUGCCCCAUUGAGGGAAAAAACUAUUAAACGUCAGAGGAAAGCUCCGUGGUUUAGCUCUGAAACUCACACACUCAAACAAACAACCCGUAAAUUAGAGAGAAUGUGGCGCUCCAAUAAAACAGAGGAGUCACGAAUACUUUGGCAAGAAAGUCAUAGUAAAUACAUGACAGCCUUAUGACAUAGUCGAUCUACAUACUAUUCCUCACUAAUUGAAGAAAAUAAAAAUAAUCCGAGGUACCUUUUCAGCACUGUAGCCAGGCUAACACAAAGUCAGAGCUCUAUUGAGCCCAUGAUUCCUCUAGCCCUCAGCUGUGAGGACUUUAUGACAUUUUUUAACGAUAAAAUUCAUAAGAUUAGAGAUAAAAUUAGCCACUCCCUGCCUUCACCUGGACCUGCUGUACCAUUAAAUGUAAAUAGGCCUAACCUAAACUGUUUCACACAUAUAGGACUUCAGGAACUUAACUC
rnacentral:lncRNA from 1 species